rnacentral:sRNA from 1 species
UGCCCAAGAGCUCGUUAGGUUAACCACUAAAAUGCCCUCGUUAUCGUUGCUCACUAAACCCGGUGCUAUCCUCUUCUCAGCCACACACACACUGAAUAAACACCUCCAUCAUCUUCAGGUCCCGUUCUUUUCUGCGGUGUGUCUCUUCUGCGGCUUCUUCUGCUGCUUCUGCUGCUUCUCGUCUUCUCUUGAUUCCCUUCACGGGGGUUUCCUCUCGUCUUUGUAGCUGCAUCCUUCGUCUCAGCAUCCUUGCUCUCUCCGUCCCACCGCUGCUUUGGCCCCCAAUUGCUCUCUGUCCCACCGCUUCGGCCCCCAAUUGCUCCAAUUGCUCCAAUUGCACCUGGCAGUGGCCUUCUCCGCGUACCCAUAUCCCAUGUCCUGAUUCAGAUUUGUAUAUCUUUUAGAGUUCCCGUCAUUCUAUCCCUUCCUACACACCGCAAACAACCCCUCUUCCCCCCCAAAUGCAUCCGUCGACACUACCCAAAAAUUCACACUCUGCUUAUUCUCCGUCCUCAGCUUCAUCUUGCUUUCCAAGGCUGCUCACACACAUUGCCUGCCGCUGUCACCAAUAGCAAAGCUCAACUUCUCCCUAUCCACCACCGCGCUCCACUUCUCGACCGGCCCUCACCCCACCCGCCCUAGGUUUGGGCUCCAAUCCUUGUCCCUCUGCAGUUUUGAAAGCAACGUGAUCGAGGCCUCCUGUGUCCUGUCCCACUCCGCCGAUCGAGAUCUUUGAAUCGCUGCCCACCAACCCUAGCCGCCUAUUUCCCGCCGUAUAUGUGCUAUCUUCCGUGGACGGCAGCAUCCAACUGUACUGCCGAAAGAAACGGAUAAAUACCUACACGCUUUGCCUAGUUGCCUAGGUUUUCAAGUUUUCCUUGGAUCUCACGAAAACUGCUCUGGAAAAGGUGCUUUCCCCUUUUGACCCUGGGUUGAUCUCCCCUGGUCUAUCGUCUUGUUAUUUGGGAGAGCUCUAUCGGUCGAAAUCAGCGCGAAGAAUACUUUCCCUUCUUCUUCUUCUUUUUUUUUUUGCUUCUUGCCUUAACUGCGCAAGCGCCUGCUCUAAGGCGGGACAAGGGUUCAGUUAUAGGACUGCCAAUAAGCGGGCACAUUUGGCCGGGUUGACUCGGGCAUAGAUUUUUCGCGGUGGUCAAUCGAUAUUACCUCCUGUCCCAAAAGAAACCGCAUCGUUAUAAGGUCGAAGACCCGGACAGAUCCCCCGGCUCACCUGCCCCAUCCCCUACCGAGCGCCAAGUACACGCCUCCAACUGUUCCAGCUUGUAUUUCUGCUGGCCCUGGCCGUCACGAACUGGGUCUUGCAAUUUUUUCCCCCCAUUCUUCUUGAUCGUUAACCCUUCCCGCAACGGCUAUUAGCAAUAAAAUUGUCCGAUCGACCACUAUGAGCUCAAAUCUGAGAUUACAGCCUCGAAGAGAGUAUCACAUCGUGGUUCUUGGAGCUGGUGGAGUUGGAAAGAGUUGCUUAACUGCCCAAUUCGUCCAAAAUGUCUGGAUUGAAAGUUACGACCCGACUAUUGAAGACUCGUAUCGCAAGCUGAUUGAAGUGGAUGGGCGACAAUGUAUUCUGGAGAUAUUAGAUACUGCCGGGACUGAACAAUUCACUGCUAUGAGGGAACUCUACAUGAAGCAAGGCCAAGGCUUCCUCCUCGUCUUCUCAAUAACAUCCGCGUCUUCCCUCUCCGAACUAGCAGAACUCCGCGAACAAAUCAUCCGGAUAAAAGACGACGACAACGUCCCCAUUGUCAUCGUCGGUAACAAGUCAGAUCUCGAAGAAGACCGUGCCGUCUCGCGAUCGCGCGCCUUCGCCCUCUCCCAACAAUGGGGAAACUCUCCUUACUACGAAACCUCCGCCCGCCGCCGCGCAAACGUCAACGAAGUCUUUAUUGACCUGUGCAGACAGAUUAUCCGGAAAGACAUACAGGCAAGCCAGCAGCGGAGCAUGGAGCUGGCGAUGAAUGGGAGGGUUGGUGGUGGUGGGGUCGGUGUCGGGGGUGGCGGCAUUGGUGGUAGUUCUGCUGGGGGUGGUGGUACUGGGCGUGGGGCGGAAGGGCACAGUCGACAGAGCGGAGUCCGCUUACGGAAUCGGAGGAGAGCAAAAGUGAAAGGGGAUUGUGUGAUCUUGUGAAUUCUUUCUUUCCUUCUGCCCUACGGUUCGGCUUUUCCUCCCCCACCUUCUUCUGUGUUUAUUUGGUUUUCUCUUUCUUUUUUAUAUACAUGAUAUAUGGCCUUUCUAUUCUAUACUUCCUCCUUUUUCCCGGGGCUUUUUUGUUCUUGUUUUUAUCUAUUUCUGAUGUUUCUUCUACCCUUUGCCUUUAUUCUCUGUUUAGUCGUCCCACUCCGACAUAUUUUCGCACAGAGAUUUUUGCUCCCACUAUUCUCCUCAUCUUUAUCCGUUUUUCAUGAUUUCAUUUCAUUUCAUUUCACUUCAUUAUAAGAAUCUUUUUCUAUUUCUAUUCAUGGUUUAUUUUCACUAUCCGUUUUAGAAUAACUCUUACCUGUAUAUUGCUUGAUACUUAGAGUUGCCCAUUCCGAGAUUUAUCCUAUUGUCGUCCAUUUUUUCCCUUUUUCUUUUCUUUUCUUUUCUUUUUUUUUUUUCGUUUCGUGUCUAACCCUUGCUUCUUUUGCCUUAACUUUCCCCUUUUCUCAUUUAACGCUGUCAACAUACCAUCCGAAAAUUCAUCCAAGAAAUUAACCCCCUUGUUUAUUUUAGAAAUCAAUUGCAUUCUUCCAUUCUUCCCAAACCUUUUAACCUUUUAUCUAGUUCUUCCUUUUUAUUUUUCCCCCUUUCUUUUUUCACGCUUCUGAGAGCAAGCCCACUAGGAGGGAGGAAUAUGCAUUAACGAAGUGGAAAUUGAUGGGGGGGAUGGAUACAUCCAAUCCAUGUGGUACCUGCCAUAGAUGCUACAACGCAAAAGACAUUAUUAACGUGGUGCCCCUAACUUUCAAUUAAUUAAGUCUAACUAUGGGAAACAGUUGCCCGCUAUCAAUAACUAAAAG